rnacentral:rRNA from 1 species
UGGGGAAUAUUGCGCAAUGGGGGCAACCCUGACGCAGCCAUGCCGCGUGAAUGAAGAAGGCCUUCGGGUUGUAAAGUUCUUUCGGUAGCGAGGAAGGCAUUUAGUUUAAUAGACUAGGUGAUUGACGUUAACUACAGAAGAAGCACCGGCUAACUCCGUGCCAGCAGCCGCGGUAAUACGGAGGGUGCGAGCGUUAAUCGGAAUAACUGGGCGUAAAGGGCACGCAGGCGGUGACUUAAGUGAGGUGUGAAAGCCCCGGGCUUAACCUGGGAAUUGCAUUUCAUACUGGGUCGCUAGAGUACUUUAGGGAGGGGUAGAAUUCCACGUGUAGCGGUGAAAUGCGUAGAGAUGUGGAGGAAUACCGAAGGCGAAGGCAGCCCCUUGGGAAUGUACUGACGCUCAUGUGCGAAAGCGUGGGGAGCAAACAGGAUUAGAUACCCUGGUAGUCCACGCUGUAAACGAUGUCGAUUUGGGGGUUGAGCUUUGAGUUUGGCGCCCGUAGCUAACGUGAUAAAUCGACCGCCUGGGGAGUACGGCCGCAAGGUUA